rnacentral:tRNA from 1 species
GGAGUUGUGGCUCAGUGGUAGAGCACUCGCCUAGCAUGUGUGAGGUCCUGGGUUUGAUUCUCAGUACCA